rnacentral:misc_RNA from 1 species
GAUGAAGAACGUAGCAAAAUGCGAUACUUGGUGUGAAUUGCAGAAUCCCGUGAACCAUCGAGUUUUUGAACGCAAGUUGCGCCCGAAGCCUUUUGGCCGAGGGCACGUCUGCCUGGGCGUCACACAUCGCGUCGCCCCCCACAAUUCUCCGUAAAGGGAACAUGUGUUUUGGGGGCGGAUAUUGGUCUCCCGUGCUCAUGGCGUGGUUGGCCGAAAUAGGAGUCCUUUCGAUGGACGCACGAACUAGUGGUGGUCGUAAAAACCCUCGUCUUUUGUUUCGUGCUGUUGGUCGCAAGGUAAACUCUUUAAAAACCCCAAUGUGUCGUCUCUUGACGACGCUUCGACCGCGACCCCAGGUCAGGCGGGACUACCCGCUGAGUUUAAGCAUAUCAAUAAGCGGAGGA